CACUGUUAUUAGUCCUUUCACAGAUUUACCUUCACAAUAACCGCUUUACUGUUAUAGAAUAUUGUUAGACCUGAUUGAGACGUUUCGGUGUGUGAUUGACAAUUUUUGACGAUAAUGAACGAUCGAUUCUUUGGCUUUCUAAUCUUUUUGACGAUUCUUUGGCUUUCUAAUCUGUCACAUGCUUCAUUGUGCAGACUUAUAAUGGGUCUCCGCAGUACUGUGUUCCAUACGAUGUUUUACGGAAGUUUGGAUAACUGCACAGCUCCCAUCGACAUCCCGACUUUCUUCCCGAUGCUUUUGCGAAUAUGCUUAGGGUUUUGCUAACACUUACACAACCAAUGGUGCAGCGAUAUCUACACCGAUGCCGUGGAGAAUUUCACCCAGGAUAACGUCUUUUCCACACUGGGCUGCGCGGAUAAAUACGACUUGCCAUUUCUGAUAGUCUUGUGCACUAAUUUCGUCUUGGAUAAGCUCAGCAUCAGCAACUGCCUGGAUCAUCUGGAUAGCGCGGUUCGCUACGCAAGUGCCGCGCCGAACAUCCUGGAGAAAUGUUUAUGCCUGAUUGAUGAAUCAGCCGAAUGUAUCUGGGAAUCCGAGCAGUUCUGUGCGAUUGGACAAGAGGCGCUCCACACCAUUCUUCAGAGAGAUACGCUGACCGCCAGUGAAGACACCAUUUGCUCGUCUGUUGAGACGGGGCGGCAAAUAUGUGCAAACAAAACAGCAUGGACGCUUCCUCCGCCAAUCGGCGUGAAAUGUUGGGUCCAGCGUUGUUUCUCAUCCGAUUUCCGCUCUUAAUACAUGCUCAGCUGCUGGAUGGGCCCCUGAAGAAUGGUUUGCUGCUGCAAUCGGAAGGAUGGGACAUCUUCCACUACAAGCACGCUACAAUUAAACCGCGGCUGCCGUUCCCUACGCAGCCCCGGCAAAAUGUGCGCGCUGAGGGUGUAAUCAAUUAUAUCAUUCCGGAUGUGAGGAAGCUCGAACAGACGCCAAUAUUCAGCGAUUCCAUAACAGUCAGGAAGCUGCUGUGGAAUAUAAGGGUUCAGAAGGACACUGGUGAUGAAAAUACUUAUUUGGGCCUUUACCUCCAGUGUUGUGGGCCUUCUGGCUAUCCAAGAUCAGCUUCCUGGACUUGCCAGGUUAAUGCAGAGCUGCGCCUUAUGUCAUGGAAAACCGAAAUUACGCCAUUUAAGAAAAAGUUGUCCAUGUUGUUCACCAAAGAUAGUUUUAGUUGGGGAUACUCAUAUAUCUCUAUGGAGAAAUUACUGGAUCCAACGAAAGGCUACGUUAAUCCUAGUGACUUCUCACUGAGCCUGCAAGUCCAUGUGGCUGCUGAGCUUCCUGCUGGGCUCGAGUGCAUGCAAUGUGCAGAUGGAUGCACCUUUGUGAAGGACAAUGGCGCUCAUAAAUGAUUUCGAUGACCCAGGAGUUUGUCUUUAUCGCUUAUUAGAUGGGAUGGAUCAUGGAAUGAUUCUAAAUUCUUGUGUUGCUGAAGUGGUUCUUAAGUUUAGUUACCGGCGCAUUACCGGUUCGGUUUGCUUGGCAACUAUGUAUUUCGUUAGUAAUAGUUUGCAACUGGAAAUACUUAGCUUUUAUGAAGCUCCUGUAAACUAGCGCGACUUUGACGUUGCUGUUACAUUCAGCCGAUAUUUAAUGAUGCUCUAAUUAAUGUUUUGAAUUUGACUUCCUUUUUCGGCUUGCUUUGUGUUAGGUUUAUCUAUAAAUAGUUUUUAGUACAGAUUGUACUUACUCCAAGGACAAAUCGGCCAUUGAUGUCAAUAAGACCACCGACACUGAAUACCACGUCACAUCUGUCCGUAAGGACGAGCCAUAGAGAUGUGUCCUUCUUUUGCCUUCCAUAAGGGAUAUCCAUGUAACCGGUAGCGCGGUAUGUACUGUCGAAAGGUGGAGUGCGUACUAUCUUUAUCCAAGGUUUUCAAGUCAAUCGGGUGAGCACGAUAACCUAGUUUUCUGCUUUUCUGUCUAAAAUCUUACCUUGGUAUUUACGAGAACAAACAGCCACGUUCGAAGGAUACAAAUUGUCAUGACCGUUCCAACCAAUGGGGAGAAUUCCCCAACGUACGGCGACUGAGUCCUUAUUGAACUGACCAUGAACAGUAACAGCAUGAAUUCUCGGGCAUACGUGCAAAGCAAAGCGGCCUGAAUUCGCUCAUUAAGGAGGAUGAUGAAACGGCUGAGGUUAUUAUACUCCUUAAUUGUUUGUUCCAGUUCUCCCUCUUUUGCCACUGUGGCCAGGUGCGAUGUCAUAUUGACAAAGCACAGGAUUGUUCCAGCCGCAAUAAAUAUGAAGACGCAGUGCGCAAAUGUCAGUUGACCGUUAAACACGUAAAUGGAAAUUUGUGGGACAGCAGCCAUGAUAUAUGCAGUGUUCGUGGCUACGCCGACACUUCUGAGCGCCAGAAACAACGGAUGUUCCAUCAUCGCAUCAAAACUGAGACUCGGCAGAAAAGCAAUAAUGUUGCUUACACUGGUGCACAGGAAUAGCGCUCCUAAAAUAAUACCCACGAACAUCAGCAGCUUGGUGCUUCGGGAGGUCAUAAUGCGCUCGGCAACGGCAUGAAAUUCGGUUACCCACAACGCAAAAUUCCAGAAUGCGUAGUAAAGUGAUACAGCGGUAAACGGUAUCAGGAACGCA